UAGAAGAAGUAAGGGGUGUUUGAGCAAAACCACAAACAAUAAAAUGAAAGCUCAAUUAGUUUUAUUUUUCAAUAUUAGUGCAUUAGUUGUAGCAUUAUGCGGUUU